rnacentral:lncRNA from 1 species
CUCCUCCCAGCAAUGCCCUCCCUCCUCCCAGCCAGGCCCUCACCACCGAUGGUGACCGGGUACCCCACCUGCUCCAGUUCCUGGCAGCACUCUCCCUCCUCCCGACAGCACCCUCCCUCCUCCCAGCAACACCCUCCCUCCUCCUGACAGCACCCUCCCUCCUUCCAGCCAGGCCCUCACCACCGACGGUGACUGGGUGCCCCACCCAGUUCCUGACAGCACCCUCUCUCCUCCCAGCCAGCACCCUUGCCACCGAUGGUGACCGGGUGCCCGGCCUGCCCCAGUUCCUGACAG